rnacentral:rRNA from 1 species
CAGCUAGUUGGUAAGGUAACGGCUUACCAAGGCUACGAUGGGUAGGGGUCCUGAGAGGGAGAUCCCCCACACUGGUACUGAGACACGGACCAGACUCCUACGGGAGGCAGCAGUGAGGAAUAUUGGACAAUGGGCGCAAGCCUGAUCCAGCCAUGCCGCGUGCAGGAUGACGGUCCUAUGGAUUGUAAACUGCUUUUAUACGAGAAGAAACACUACUUCGUGAAGUAGCUUGACGGUAUCGUAAGAAUAAGGAUCGGCUAACUCCGUGCCAGCAGCCGCGGUAAUACGGAGGAUCCAAGCGUUAUCCGGAAUCAUUGGGUUUAAGGGGUCCGUAGGCGGUUUAAUAAGUCAGUGGUGAAAGCCCAUCGCUCAACGGUGGAACGGCCAUUGAUACUGUUAGACUUGAAUUAUUAGGAAGUAACUAGAAUAUGUAGUGUAGCGGUGAAAUGCUUAGAGAUUACAUGGAAUACCAAUUGCGAAGGCAGGUUACUACUAAUGGAUUGACGCUGAUGGACGAAAGCGUGGGUAGCGAACAGGAUUAGAUACCCUGGUAGUCCACGCCGUAAACGAUGGAUACUAGCUGUUGG